UGCCCUAGUAACGGCGAGUGAAGCGGCAACAGCUCAAAUUUGAAAUCUGGCGCAAGCCCGAGUUGUAAUUUGUAGAGGAUGUUUCUGGCGACGCGCCUUCCGAGUUCCCUGGAACGGGACGCCAUAGAGGGUGAGAGCCCCGUACGGUUGGAUGCCUAGCCUCUGUGAAACUCCUUCGACGAGUCGAGUAGUUUGGGAAUGCUGCUCUAAAUGGGAGGUAUACGUCUUCUAAAGCUAAAUACCGGCCAGAGACCGAUAGCGCACAAGUAGAGUGAUCGAAAGAUGAAAAGCACUUUGAAAAGAGGGUUAAAAAGUACGUGAAAUUGUUGAAAGGGAAGCGUUCAUGACCAGACUUGGGCAGGUUGAUCAUCCGUGGUUCUCCGCGGUGCACUCUGCCUGCCCAGGCCAGCAUCAGUUCGCUCCGGGGGAUAAAGGCUCUGGGAAUGUGGCUCCUUCGGGAGUGUUAUAGCCCACUGCGUAAUACCCUGGGGUGGACUGAGGUUCGCGCUCUGCAAGGAUGCUGGCGUAAUGGUCAUCAACGACCCGUCUUGGAACACGGACCAAAGAGUCGUCUUCGUAUGCGAGUGUUCGGGUGUCAAACCCCUACGCGUAAUG
rnacentral:rRNA from 1 species